AUGAUGGAAUUGCACUUUGUUUGUGGAAUACCAUGUUCUGGAUUAUAUAGCAAAUAGAUUAUAUAGUGAAUCCUCCUUUCAAUUUUCCUCUGCUUCUAUCAUGUCCUCUACUUCCUUACUCAGGAGUAGCACAACCUGCAAAGGCAUCACUUGUCUACCAGCUGCUGAGUUUGGCUUUCAGAUGGAUCUCAACCCCAGUUCCAGCUAUCUCCAAAAUUGAAUGCUCAGACUCUGAUGAUGAGGAGGCUGGCAAAGAGCAGGAGCUGGCGCCUGAGGA